GAUGAACGCUGGCGGCGUGCCUAAUACAUGCAAGUCGAGCGAACGGACGAGAAGCUUGCUUCUCUGAUGUUAGCGGCGGACGGGUGAGUAACACGUGGAUAACCCACCUAUAAGACUGGGAUAACUUCGGGAAACCGGAGCUAAUACCGGAUAAUAUUUUGAACCGCAUGGUUCAAAAGUGAAAGACGGUCUUGCUGUCACUUAUAGAUGGAUCCGCGCUGCAUUAGCUAGUUGGUAAGGUAACGGCUUACCAAGGCAACGAUGCAUAGCCGACCUGACAGGAGGCUCGGCAACACGGGAAAUGAGACCCGGUCAAUACUCCUACGCGAGGCAGCAGUAGGGAAGCUACCGAAAUGGGCGAAAGCCUGACGGAGCAACGCCGCGUGCAUGAUGAAGGUCUCCGGAGCGGAAAACUCUGUUAUUAGGGAAGAACGUAUGUUUAAGGAAAUGUGCACAUCUUGACGGUACCUAAUCAGAAAGCCACGUCUAACUACGUG
rnacentral:rRNA from 1 species